UACUAAAUAGCUCGGUUGGUAAAGAAUCUGCUUGCAACGCAGGAAACCCUGGUUCAAUUCCUGGGUUGGGAA
rnacentral:tRNA from 1 species